AGGUCCGAACCCACGAGCGUUGAAAAGCUCGGGGAUGACUUGUGGGUAGCGGUGAAAUUCCAAUCGAGCCCGGAGAUAGCUGGUUCUCCCCGAAAUAGCUUUAGGGCUAGCCUCAAGGUGAGAGAUACGGAGGUAGAGCACUGAAUGUCCUAGGGGUAUUGCACCUACCGAAGACUAUCAAACUCCGAAUGCCGUCAUCUUAUACUUGGGAGUCAGACUGUGGGUGAUAAGAUUCAUAGUCGAAAGGGCAACAGCCCAGAUCGUCAGCUAAGGUCCCUAAAUGUAAGUUAAGUGGUAAAGGAUGUGGGAUUGCACAGACAACCAGGAUGUUGGCUUAGAAGCAGCCACUCAUUCAAAGAGUGCGUAAUAGCUCACUGGUCGAGUGAUCCUGCGCCGAAGAUUUCCGGGGCUAAAACUUACUACCGAAGCUACGGCAUCAGUAAUGAUGGGUAGGGGAGCUUCCCAUACGGGUUGAAGCAUGACCGUAAGGACAUGUGGACAGUAUGGGAGUGAGAAUGUUGGCAUGAGUAGCGAGAUGUGGGUGAGAAUCCCACAGGCCGUAAACCCAAGGUUUCCAGGGAAGGUUCGUCCGCCCUGGGUUAGUCGGGACCUAAGCUGAGGCCGAAAGGCGUAGGUGAUGGACAACAGGUUGAUAUUCCUGUACUACCGAUAACCGUUUGAGAGAAGGGAUGACACAGUAGGAUAAGCUAAGCACACUGUUGGUUAUGUGUGCCCAAGCAUUGAGGCAGUCAAAGUAGGCAAAUCCGCUUUGAUAAUGCUGGGAUGUGAUGGGGAGCGAAAUUUAGUAGCGAAGUAGCUGAUUUCACACUGUCAAGAAAAGUCUCUAUCGAGGUUAAAGGUACCCGUACCGCAAACCGACACAGGUGGGUGAGGAGAGUAUCCUAAGGCCAGCGAGAGAACUGUUGUUAAGGAACUCGGCAAAAUGACCCCGUAACUUAGGGAUAAGGGGUGCCACCAUCAGGUGGCCGCAGAGAAUAGGCCCAAGCGACUGUUUACCAAAAACAUAGGUUUCUGCUAAGUCGCAAGACGAUGUAUAGGAGCUGACGCCUGCCCGGUGCUGGAAGGUUAAGGGGAUCUGUUAGAGCAAUCGAAGCAGUGAACUUAAGCCCCAGUAAACGGCGGCCGUAACUAUAACGGUCCUAAGGUAGCGAAAUUCCUUGUCGGGUAAGUUCCGACCCGCACGAAAGGCGUAACGAUUUGGGCACUGUCUCAACAACAGACUCGGUGAAAUUGUAAUUCCGGUGAAGAUGCCGGAUACCUGCGACAGGACGGAAAGACCCCAUGGAGCUUUACUGUAGCUUGACAUUGGGUCUUGGUACUACAUGUACAGGAUAGGUGGGAGGCUUUGAAACCAGGACGCCAGUUUUGGCGGAGCCAUCCUUGGGAUACCACCCUUGUAGUACUGGGACUCUAACCAUAGGCCAUGAAUCUGGUCUUGGGACACUGUCAGGUGGGCAGUUUGACUGGGGCGGUCGCCUCCCAAAAGGUAACGGAGGCGCUCAAAGGUUCUCUCAGUACGGUCGGAAAUCGUACGUAGAGUGUAAAGGCAAAAGAGAGCUUGAUUGCAAGACAUACAGGUCGAGCAAGGAUGAAAAUCGGACUUAGUGAUCCGGUGGUUCUGCGUGGAAGGGCCAUCGCUCAACGGAUAAAAGCUACCCUGGGGAUAACAGGCUUAUCUCCCCCAAGAGUCCACAUCGACGGGGAGGUUUGGCACCUCGAUGUCGGCUCAUCACAUCCUGGGGCUGUAGUAGGUCCCAAGGGUUGGGCUGUUCGCCCAUUAAAGUGGUACGCGAGCUGGGUUCAGAACGUCGUGAGACAGUUCGGUCCCUAUCCGUCGCAGGCGUAGGAAAUUUGAGAAGACCUGUCCUUAGUACGAGAGGACCGGGAUGGACGUACUCUGGUGUACCAGUUGUCCUGCCAAGGGCAUGGCUGGGUAGCUAUGUACGGAAUGGAUAAGCGCUGAAAGCAUCUAAGCGCGAAGCCAACUUCAAGAUAAGAUUUCCCACCGCAAGGGUAAGACCCCAGAAAGACUAUCUGGUUGAUAGGUCGAAGGUGUAAGUGCAGCAAUGUAUUUAGCUUAUCGAUACUAAUAGGUCGAGGACUUGACCAAU
rnacentral:rRNA from 1 species